UAGUCAUAUGCUUGUGUUAAAGAUUAAGCCAUGCAUGCCUAAGUACAGGUAGCAAAACCGAAACUGCGGAUGGCUCAUUACAACAGUUAUUAUUGAAAUAGUGAAUAUUUGGAAGAGUGGAGGCGAGGAUUCAAUGGGGGCUUGACGGCCUUCAACCUUGUCUCUGGGAAUUCAAAAUGAGAAAAUAGAUGGAUAACCCUGCUAAUCGUAGAGCUAAUACAUGAAGUCAAGGCUCGAAGGAAAGUGGGAAGCAGACAGGCCGAGGGAUUGGGAGGGCGGAGAGCAAAAAGUCAGAACCCCUUUUGACAACCCUGAUCCAACUCUCAUCGAGGAGAYCUCGUGAACAACGAGGUUUUGCUUGGGAGAGUGGGAGAGGAUCACACGCCGCGCCAGUCCGAUCAGGCUGCUGGAGCCCACACACCACAGAGCCGCGUUUGUCAGCAAAGCGAGGAAGGAGAGCAUGCGAGGUGUUGGAUUGGAGGGAACUUGGAGCAAUCCAGGAGUCUCUGGUCUGAUGGCUCAGCAUGAUAUUAGGAGACGAAGACAUGAGAAUGCAUCGUGGGGAAGACGGGGGGACACAACCUGGCCACAGAUGACAAUGUCAUGAGGAUAAAAACGGACCGUUGGAUGAGUUUGAAUGGGGAAGAGAAGUGAAAACAAAAAGCCUUGAUAAUUCUGGGAGRGGAGGUUUGUUUCUGACUUGGACGUCAAAAUCUGAGUGGGGGAUGGAUCUUUUCUUUCGAACAAAGACAAAAGCCAAUCAAACACGACGGGGUGAAUGAAGUCUCCAAGUGAGAUAGGACAAAGGAGCAAAUUGCAAAUGAAAAGGGAUGAGAGUCAAAUCUUGUUCUUUGGCAAUACACUAGAGAAAUUUCUGACCUAUCAACUUGAUGGUAGGAUAGGGGCCUACCAUGGUUGUCACGGGUAACGAGGAAUUAGGGUUCGAUUUCGGAGAGUUGGCCUGGGAAACGGCGAACACUUCCAAGGAAGGCAGCAGGCGCGUAAAUUACUCGGUGCCAAUACGGCGAGGUAGUAACGACAAAUACCAAUGCCCGACCUCUCCUCACGGGGAGGGGGCAAUUGGAAUGGGCACAAUGUAAAGAGGUGUGCGAGUAACGAUUGGAGGGAAAGUCUGGUGCCAGCAGCCGCGGUAAUUCCAGCUCCAAGAGUGUAUACUAAAGUUGUUGCGGUUAAAAAGCUCGUAGUCGAUGUUAGGAGUUUUAAUCAUCAUGAAUCGCAAGGUUYGUCUUGGUUGUUGAUCAUGAUUGAGUYUCUCAAUUUGAUUAAGAUUUCCAUCUUGUCUUGUUUCAUUUGUUUUGUUUUCGGAUGAAAUGAAUGGUGAUGAAACAAGGUUGAAAUCAAACUUCUUGAAGUAUUUGGAUUAGUUAUUACAUGAUUUAAAUAUCAAUCGUAAUAGUAACAUCAAAGACCGAUUCGAAAGAGUCAGUCAUGAUUUGAUGGAAACUACCAAAUCAAUUACUUUGAAUAAAAUAAAAUGUUCAAAGCAGGUUUCAACAAGCCAGAAUAAGAUAGCAUAGGAUAAUAAGAAAACAAGGGAAGCGUGUCUUGCCUCCGAAUAAUGAAAAUAGGGAACAACAGAGCCUGAGUUUGAUGCCAGGGAAUUGGGGAGAGGCUUCUCAGGGAUGCUCACGAUUGGAUGACAACGAAUCGGGAGAAAGAGUGGCUUUUUACAGGGCCGACCGAUGAAGGAUUCAAUUUGAGAACAGAAUGAAAGAUCAUUACCAAAUGUUGUUUUCUAGAGGUGACAAUCAACUUCCAAAAGAGAAUGAGUGAUUAAUAGGAACAGUCGGGGUGGUUUAUAUUUAAUAGCGAGAGGUGAAAUUCUAUGAGCUAUUCAAGAUAAACUAAAGCGAAAGCAUUCCACAAGGAUGAAUUCAUUGAUCAAGAACGAAAGUUGGGGGAUCGAAGACGAUCAGAUACCGUCGUAGUCUCAACAGUAAACGAUGCCGACCAGGGAUUGGAGAAAGUCGUAAAGAGYGRUCAGAGUGCUGUUCCUUUWCGGGGAUUGUAUUUUGACCAUUUUCAAAAACUUUUUAGAUUGGACUUCUUCAGCACCUCAGAGAGAAAUCAAAGAGUGUUUGGGCUUCGGGGGAAGUAUGGUCGCAAGGCUGAAACUUAAAGGAAUUGACGGAAGGGCACUACCAGGAGUGGAGCCUGCGGCUCAAUUUGACUCAACACGGGGAAACUUACCAGGUCCAGACAGUAGGAGGAUAGACAGAUUGAGAGCUCUUUCUUGAUUUGCUGGGUGGUGGUGCAUGGCCGUUCUUAGUUGGUGGUGUGAAUUGUCUGGUCAAUUCCGRUAACGAACGAGACCUUAACAUGAUAAAUAAGUUCAGUCAAGGCGGGGUAUCUUGGGAUUUAGCAAUAAGUUUCGAGAUGUUUCACUUGACAGWAGAAAUGGUCAGGAUAGUCAAAUAUUCUGAUCCAUAUGAACUUCUUAAAGGGACUAUUUGCGUAUUAUAACCAGCGAAUGGAAGUUUGAGGCAAUAACAGGUCUGUGAUGCCCUUUGAUGUCCUGGGCUGCACGCGCGCUACAAUGAUUGAAACAGAGAGUAAAAUUGGUUGGCUCACCUSGAAGACUURUCUUUUGGAUGGGCUGGCCAAUGACCAGGGUUGAAGAAUACUGGGGAAACUUGAGAAAGUCAAUCAUGAUGGGGAUAGAUCAUUGGAAUUAUUGGUCUUGAACGAGGAAUUCCUCGUAAGCACGAGUCAACAGCUCGUGCUGAAUACGUCCCUGCCCUUUGUACACACCGCCCGUCGCUCCUACCGAUUGGAUGAUCCGGUGAAAAUUGUGGAUCGGCUCUUCUCGUGGGGGCUCGCAAGAUCUCUCUGGGAAUGGCUGAGAAAUUAUUUGAACCUUAUUAUCUAGAGGAAGGAGAAGUCGUAACAAGGUAUCC
rnacentral:rRNA from 1 species